CUACGGAGGAUGCGAGCGUUAUCCGGAUUUAUUGGGUUUAAAGGGAGCGUAGGUGGGAUAUUAAGUCAGCUGUGAAAGUUUGGGGCUCAACCUUAAAAUUGCAGUUGAUACUGGUUUCCUUGAGUACGGUACAGGUGGGCGGAAUUCGUGGUGUAGCGGUGAAAUGCUUAGAUAUCACGAAGAACUCCGAUCGCGAAGGCAGCUCACCGGGCCGGAACUGACACUGAUGCUCGAAAGUGCGGGUAUCAAACAGGAUUAGAUACCCUGGUAGUCCGCACAGUAAACGGUGAAUACUUGUUUUCGGCGAUAUAAUGUCGGAGGCAAAGCGAAAGCGAUAAGUAUUCCACCUGGGGAGUACGCCGGCAACGGUGAAACUCAAAGGAAUUGGCGGG
rnacentral:rRNA from 1 species